AUCGUUUUGUAGUUCAUGAGCAUGAUGACUGGGUGCUCACAUGCUUGUGUAAGAUGUGCCACCCUCAGGACCUUGCUGCAACAUUGGCACGUUACUCACCUGACC